UACGUAGGGCGCAAGCGUUGUCCGGAAUUAUUGGGCGUAAAGAGCUCGUAGGCAGUCUGUCGCGUCGGAUGUGAAAGCCCGGGGCUUAACCCCGGGUCUGCAUUCGAUACGGGCAGACUAGAGUGUGGUAGGGGAGAUCGGAAUUCCUGGUGUAGCGGUGAAAUGCGCAGAUAUCAGGAGGAACACCGGUGGCGAAGGCGGAUCUCUGGGCCAUUACUGACGCUGAGGAGCGAAAGCGUGGGGAGCGAACAGG
rnacentral:rRNA from 1 species